UGGGUUCCAGAUGACUUUGAUUUGUGCUCUCCGGUUCCGAAUUCAUGCCGAAGUUCUGAACCUCUGCCUCGUGAUACACAGCCAAAGUCCUGUUUGCAUCAUUUGCAUCAUAGCAUGUUUAUUUUCAAAAAUAAUGCAAUAAAUAAAAAAAAUGAAAAAGAAAAGGGAAAAGAAAAAAACUAAUCUCCUCAUGCAUAUCAUUUCUCAGGUUCAU
rnacentral:lncRNA from 1 species